ensembl:lncRNA
AUUGAAGAAUCAUAAAAGCUGCGGUAUCUUCAUGUCAUCUGAUGAGUACAAUCAAUGUUCAUGCUUUUAUACAGUACUAAAAAAAUGAUCUCAUUAGGCUGGGCUUUCCCAUGUUUUCUUUUGAUCACAUUUCUGAUGACUCACCACAAUUAUGUUUCUUUCUUCAUAUCUUAUUUAUAAAGGGGGUGCAAGUUCAGUCAGCAUAUUUUUUAGAAGUUUUUAUUUUACCGAUCUAGAUCUUGGAUUUCAACAAUACAUCUUAAGAAAUCCCUAACAUCAAACUGUCUUUAAAGAUACAGACUUAAAACGACAUAGUACAACCUCAGUGUCUUUAUGCAGGUGCAGAGGAUAACUUUUGUAAGAAAACAGCAAGCCUUGAAGAAAAAGAUACUUUUGUAACUGAAGAAUGGGCGCUCAGUGAUCUCACUGACUUUAGCUUAUUUGAUUAACACAUUCUCUCUUAUGAUCUCAUAUAGCCCUAUUGGUUACACAUAAGGUCUUACUUUUGACCUUAACAUACUAAUUUAUUCAAUGAUUUCUUUAAUAAAUACCAUUAACAUACUGAUUUAUUUAAUGAUUUUUUAAAAAUAUAUACCAUUUGCUUUAAAAAUAUACCAUACGACUUUUUUUUCCCCUCCAUCUCCCUCUCUCCUUCUGUUGAGCCACACAUGAUUGUAUGGAGAUGCCAGUGAUCCUGACCCUUUCUGCUCUCCGGACCUGCUUGAUCCAUCCUAAUGCCAGACUUCAUACAUUGUUUGAGUCUGAUUCUGGUUACUUUGCUCUAGCAAUGUUCAUUCAAUAUUCCUGCACUCAGACACUAAUCAAGUCUGAUUCAGUGAACAUCAAACCUGAUCAGUCUCAUAAACUGACUUGCACAGAAUCUGGAUUUGACUUUACUGGAUAGCUUGGAUCAGACAGAUGCCUGGAAAAGGGCUGGAAUUUGUUGCAACUAUCGAGUAUGAUAGUGAUAAGUAUUACUCCAGUGCAGUUAAUGGCCGCUCCAGUGCAGUUAAUGGCCAUCUCCAGAGACAACAGUAAGAUGCAGGUGUAUCUGCAUAUGAACACCAUGAGGACAGAAGACACUGCAGUGUAUUACUGCACUAGAGAAGCACAGUGACACAUGAGAUUGCAGCACUUUACACAAACCCCUUCAUAAUAUGGAAGCGUAUCAUUAAAUAAAGAAUCUUAGUCACUUCCGAACAUAUAUAUAAGGAAAGCAUUUUUAAAAGUCCAAAUAUUUUCCAAAUAU